CCUACGGGAGGCAGUAGUGAGGAAUAUUGGUCAAUGGGCGAGAGCCUGAACCAGCCAAGUCGCGUGAGGGAGUACUGCCCUAUGGGUUGUAAACCUCUUUUGUCGGGGAGCAAAAGCCGGACGUGUCCGGCUGUGAGAGUUCCCGAAGAAAAAGCAUCGGCUAACUCCGUGCCAGCAGCCGCGGUAAUACGGAGGAUGCGAGCGUUAUCCGGAUGUAUUGGGUUUAAAGGGUGCGCAGGCGGAUUUUUAAGUCAGCGGUAAAAUCGUGGGGCUCAACCCCAUCCAGCCGUUGAAACUGGGGAUCUAGAGUGUGCGAGAGGUAUGCGGAAUGCGUGGUGUAGCGGUGAAAUGCAUAGAUAUCACGCAGAACCCCGAUUGCGAAGGCAGCAUACCGGUGCACAACUGACGCUCAGGCACGAAAGCGUGGGUAUCGAACAGGAUUAGAUACCCCAGUAGUC
rnacentral:rRNA from 1 species